UGGGGAAUUUUGGACAAUGGGCGCAAGCCUGAUCCAGCAAUGCCGCGUGUGUGAAGAAGGCCUUCGGGUUGUAAAGCACUUUUGUCCGGAAAGAAAUCCGUCUGGCUAAUACCCGGACGGGAUGACGGUACCGGAAGAAUAAGCACCGGCUAACUACGUGCCAGCAGCCGCGGUAAUACGUAGGGUGCGAGCGUUAAUCGGAUUCACUGGGUUUAAAGGGUGCGUAGGUGGGUAUGUAAGUCAGUGGUGAAAUCCCCGAGCUUAACUUGGGAACUGCCAUUGAUACUAUAUAUCUUGAAUACCGUAGAGGUAAGCGGAAUAUGUCAUGUAGCGGUGAAAUGCUUAGAUAUGACAUGGAACACCAAUUGCGAAGGCAGCUUACUAUGCGGUGAUUGACACUGAGGCACGAAAGCGUGGGUAGCAAACA
rnacentral:rRNA from 1 species